CCCUUAGAUGUUCUGGGCAGCACGCGCGCUACAAUGGUCUUCGCAAACGGAUGCAUUCUCGAAUGAGAAUGCCAAUCUUGGAAUCUAUGCCUUGGUCGGGACAGUUGCUUGCAAUUUUUCGACUCGAACCAGGAAUUCCUUGUAAUCGUGAUUCAUCACAUCACGAUGAAUACGUCCCUGCCCUUUGUACACACCGCCCGUCGCUCCUACCGAUCGAAGAGUUAGGUGAAUUGUUUUGAUCGAUAAGAUUUGACUAUGGUCAACUCUCGUUGUGAAAUUCUGUGAAUCUGACUGUUUAGAGGAAGGAAAAGUCGUAACA
rnacentral:rRNA from 1 species